UUGCUUCAGAGGCACAUAUACUAAAAUUGGUAUGAUAAAGAGAAGAUCAGCAUGGCCCCUGUGCAAGGAUGAUGCAAAUUCAUGAAGCAUUCCAUAUUUUU
rnacentral:snRNA from 1 species